AUUUUAACAAUAAAUUGCAUUCAUAAUAUUUAAUUCAUGUUCAAUAUACAGUGCAUAUACAAACUAUUGCACUCUUCUAUUCAUCACAAAAUGUCAUUCAUUCAACAUAUAUAAAGAUUCAUUUGUUUUCUUCGCUCAUGUUAGCUACAACCAUCUAGGAAAUACAUGAGUUGACAUAUGAGACAAGUUACAGAAUUUGAUGGUAAGAUCCUAAGAGACCAGAUGUUUGAUCACUUGACUACUACAAAAUAUCAUGGGAGAGACCAAGUCUUCGAUCACCAAACCAACAUCAUCCUCCGUAUGAAUAAAAGGUGUCAACCAUGCUAUUUUCUGCCAUUUGUCCCUGCAAAAGAAUUUACUACCUUGUUGGAUAAAAGCACCAAAUAGUCAUAAAAUAAAAUAAAAACAUUUAUGCACUCUAUAGAGUAAUAAAUAUGUCAGGGCAUGUCACCUUUGAAGAAACCAAUUGAGCUCUAUCGCGUGGUAUAAUAACAGUUGGAAGAUAACUAAUGUCUAAAGCAAUAAGGGACAUACUUGGUCUAGCUUGAUGUAAAGUAUCCAGUAGUUUCGGCCUAAGAAAAAACAAAUAUGGAUGUAAGUUGGCACAUAUGCCAGCAUAUAAAACAUUAACAUGACAAAUUAUUUUCUGAUAUAAAUUAUUUUAUGUUGUAGUGGCCUAAACAACUCGCACUUGUGUACUUAUGUUCUUAGUGUAACUAGAAAAUAUACUUACGAGUGAUACAAACAGGAUGUGUUAUGGCUGAAAAGGCAAAUUUUAAACAAUCACGAUAUCUUAUUUAGUUAACUAGAAAAAUUCCAGUUCUAACCCUGAGCAUUUUCCUGUCAGCAAGUUUAGUAGCUCAACUGAACAAUUAUGUUACAAUUUGGAAUAUUUGCAUGUAUUUCAGUUUUAACCCUGAGCAUUAUACCAGUGAACAUAUAAGAUAUAGUAGAUUAGAAACAAUUUACCUUGUCUUAGAGGCUAGAUCUUUAUCUCUACUAGCUCGAAAAAACAUGGAACAAAGAAUAUUUGAAAAGAAUGUUGGACAGGGAAAGAAAAAUCAUCUUUUCCUCAAGCAACUACACGAUGUAGUUUUGCUAGCAUUAGUUCCAUACUUCCAUGAUAGUUGUUCCAGAAGUGCACACUGAUGCUUUACUAGCCUGAAAAGAGACAACACUUUCUUGGUUCACUCACAUAGUACUGAAUGCAUAAUCAAAUUGUUAGCAGGCAUGCAUCAUUAACAUCAAAGUACCAUGUAGACUAUUAGCAUAAGAAGAAUUUAGCUGCUAUAGGUUUCACAUACUAACAAUUAAUUAAGUCUUAUAAAUUUCACAUUUUGUUUCUGUUGCAAACAAGAAGGUUGUAAUGGUUCACCCACCAUUACUUGAUGUUCUAAAAAUUUACGCUCCUUCAAUGACUCAUCCCUAGAAGUACGGGGGUAAAAACUACCGAAAAGAGAAUAUACUAUCACCAACUAUUGCUAUUGGGGAUCGGUAAGCUCUUUGUCAAGCAAAUUUAAUUGACAAUAAGGCGACGAGAUGUCACGUUUAUCAUUGGUAGCAUAUAUAAUCAUAAUCUAAAGAGCUAAAGCAUACUCUGUGUUACACAAAUAACAAUAGUAAUGCUCUAGUGAUGAAAGAGAUAACUUAAAAACCAUGCAUAAGUGGUGAAACUUGCAUCAAAAUGACAGGUUUGCCGGAAACAAAUUGCAUCGGUAUAUAUAUGUUUAUACUAUGGUUUAUAUAUAAAGAAUGCUUGAUAAAGGUAGGAGAUUGCUUAUGUUGCGGUUCAUGCAUGCUAUGAAACAUUGUGUGGCAUACAAUAUAGAUUUGCAUGUGUUGUAUUCUACUAUGGUUAAAAUCCUGAAAGUGAAGAUAUGCUACAAUAGACUGCAACAUCUAUGUUUUUCUAAAAAUAGAGCUAGGUGUAAUCCUGAUUUGUGGUGCUGAACUAAAUAUGCUUCCCACAAAAAUAAUGGUCAAGUCUUAUUUUGUGGAUGAUCUUUAAAAGAUAGGAAUAUUUAGUUUAUAGGUACUAGGAAUAGCACACUUAUGGUGAUUUAUCCCACACAAGUUCUAAAUGUCAGGAGUGCUUACUUAAUUUUCAGAGAUAUGCAAUUGAGAUUGUUCAGUUAGUGAUCAAAUAUAUAUAUGCUAGCAUCUAGCAUUCUCUUUGGAGUAAUUUCUCACAGGAAUUUUCUUGCGUACUAAAUCAUGCGUUUCUGCUAGCUGCCUUGAUCAAGUCGCUGAACUGGAUACUAUUUUUUAUGCUAGUGGGGGUACUUCUACACACAUACAAAAUGUAGGAUUGAUAAGAAAACCUGACAAUAAAUUACUUAACACAUUGUAGUUGUUGGUAUCUUCUCAUUGCUAAAUUUAGAUGUCAUACAUUGGUACCGUAACUGUAAGUAUAACAAUAUUUUCCCAAGACUAACAAGACAUUCAUUUUCUAGGAUACGUGUACCAUCUUUUAGAGUGACACUCAUGCGCUGUAGGAACAGAGCAUAAGUUAAAAAACAUAAAAAAUAAUAUUCGGUAAACAAACACUCAAAUUUUCAGUGUAAAGAUCAAUAAAAUGUUUCUGUAAAUUAGAGUUCAACUUUUUGAUAUUUGGCAUGUCGAAACAAUUGCUACUAUCUUCUCAUUGCCAUUUCCAUUUGAGUAACUUUAACACUCUCAUGUUCAGUUCAAAUAAAAUAACCUCAAGCUUGAAUAGAUACCUUGUACUAAUGUGCAUCCAAUCAUUAUAUUUUAUAAAUUUUGACUCCAACUUUCUAUAUCAUUUAGUAGCUUGUACAGAGCUAAUACUGCUAUAUACAUGGUGUUCUAAAUAAGUAAAUAGGAAGAGACAUAAACAUCUGAGAAUUAGCAUUCUAUAAAAGUUUACCACUCAAUUGAUGACAUGAGCAGAACUCCUAUCAGUUACGUCCUUCAUUUAUAGCUUCGCUUAUGUUGUUCUUUGACUGAACAACAUCAAUAUUUGUUAAACAGAUGGUAUAUAUAAUGAUGAAGUGUUGAAUGUAAAUUAUUGCAAGUACACAAUCGUUCUAUUUUUCUUGGGUGGCAGCAAUGACCCACAUACUUCCCCAGUGGCCCUUAUAUUUCCAUAUUCAAGUAUUCUUUUCUGAUUCCAUGAGAUCUCGCCUCAGACCUUAUUUUCUGCAACAUUGGCACACCAUCAUCGUACAUAGGGACCUCACUUUCUUUUCCUAUUUCCGGCUCUUGCCGUGCAAAUGACACAUGUUAGAACAUGAUUUUUCAGACAAUAGUGGAGAUAAAUCACAGAAUUUUAUAUGAAUCAAAAUAGAAACAUUCAGUAUAAAAAACAACUGCCGAAAUUACAGAAAUAAACACCUCUCUGUCUCUCUCUCUCAUAAAAAGGAAUAGCUAAGCAAUAGAAACCAUCCAUCUAGUCGCCUUCCAAUAUCAUGACAUCUCUCUCUCUCUCUCUCUGUCAUUCUCUCACUCUUCAAGGUCUCACUGUAGCAAAAAAUUGUAGUCAGCCGCCUCCCACAGUGGCACCUAGGUGCCCACACAACACCAUCCAUAACAACAAAUGUCCUAGAUCUAGCCUUCGUGCCCCGCUCAUUUCCAGCACAGGUUGCCUCCACGCAUUGUCAUGUAUCAGGUUCACGGACUCUCCAGUUUCCCAAUUGAAAGGAGAGGGGAGACAGCUGGAUUUUCCCAGAUCCGUUUUCCCAGAUUGGUUGAGGGGGGGGGCACAGAUCUGGAGAAGGAACCAGGCGACAGAUGGCUAGGGUUUGGAGGGGGUGCUUGCCUCAGGGUAGGAGGGAAGGACAGUGUGGUCGUAGGUCGUGCGGGGAGACCAGUUGUCUCCACUGGAGAUGACCAUGCCUGUGCCUGCUUGAGUCGCCCGCCGGUUGGGCCGGGGCGGCGGCACUGGGCGCGAUGGGUCGUUGCAGCGCGCUUACGGUUCGACGAUGUGGCGCGAUGGGAGGGGUGGCGCGGGGCGCGGUGGGUCGAGGAGGGGCGGCGCGGGGAGCGGUGGGUAGGGGAAGGGGCGGCGACAUGGUCGGGGAGGGGUGGCGUGGGGCGGAGGCGUGGUCGGGAAGGGGUAGCACAUGGGUUAGGACGUGCG
rnacentral:lncRNA from 1 species